UGCCCGCACCCAAGAUGGCGCCGCCAGCAGCUAAGGCGGCUCUGCCCCCACGCAAGAUGGCGGCGCCUGCAGCGCCUGGCUGCGCAGUAAUGGCUGCCGGGGUGCAGGUGGGUGGGGUGAAGGCGGGCUCGCACCGGGCCCAUAGGGAGCGAGGCUGAGCCUCCCAGCGCCAGGGGAGGUCAGAUAAUGCGUCCUGUGCCUGCAGGGGAAGAAGAGAGGCCGGCAGGAAGAGGAACCGUGAUCCUGUGCCCCACAAUCAGCACAGCGGGGCAGCUGGACCUGCAGCGUGCACAUGGCUUCAAAAUUCCCAGGAGCAGCGCAGUGCCACCAGUCCAGGUGGCCUGUUUGAAAAUCCAGUUUCCUCUUGGAAAUACGUUUGUCUUGGCUGCUCACUGAAAAUAAUAAGGUAAUGGCAGAGGGAAAACAGGAUUUGGGAUUCCUGGCCCUGUGGCUUGCUCCAUACAUUGGGUUUUGUGGCCCUCUUAAAACCCAUUUCUUGGUUGAGGUCUGACACAGCUCCAGCUGUCGGUGUUGGUGUCAGAGCACCGUGAGAUAAUCCUGCUGGGAAACCUGUGGCUGCUCCUCCACAAGAGAGAGAAGAAUGCCAGCUGUAAUUCACUUCUCUGUUCCACAGGGUUUGAGUAAACAGCCUAUCUGGCAACUUCUUGGAAACAAAAUCUUGUCUUUAUUUCUAGAGCAUACCGACCCCUUUCCAGGAGGUCUCCAUCACUGUCAGAACAUUCAAGGGCAUUACUAAAUGUGUUAUUUCUGUUUCCUAGGAAAAAAUCUUUCUCUGCUGACCUGACAAACAGUGUGAUACGUGAUAACUGACUUGACAUCGGCAGGUAUAUGUGCUUUGAAAGGUCAUGCCAUCCCUCAGCCUGAUCAGCUGAUGCAAAACACAUAACCAACCUGUUCGUUUCAUUCCAGCAAGCUGGAGUUGACAAACUGAAGGAAGGAGGAGGGGAUCCUGAAGCAGUGACGGACUGUUCACAGCUGAACUCUGCUUCCACAUCUUUAUUAACAAUUUCCAGGUGUGGCACACAGGUAGUAGUGUGUCUGAAGGCCCAACACUGAGCUAAGGUCUUGCUUGUCCUCAUAGGUCUUAGUUUUACGAGUAGGACUGCUGAAUACUUGACUCACACAGUCUGAGAGGUGGGUGUUGGUCUCUUCACCGAAAUGAUAGAUGGUAGGAUAAGACGGAAUGGCCUCAAGCCUCAAACCUCAGGGGAGGUUUAGAUUGGACAGCAGGAAAAGCUUCUUCAUCUAAAGGGUUAUUGGGCACUGGCACAGCUGCCCAGGGAGGUGUUUGAGUUACCAUCCCUGGAGGUAUUUAAGAGGAGGGUAGAUGAGGUGUUUGGGGACAUGAUUUAAUAGUGGAUAGGUAUGGUUGGACUUGGAUGAUCUCUUUUUUUAAAAGAAAUGAUGAUCUCUUUUUUUUUUUUAAAAAAAAAAAAGGGUGAUUUGUGUUUUCUGAACCUGAUCCUCACAUGGCUGCAUAUGGUGUUAACCCUGUCAUGGCAAUACAAGGAAGGAUGCUGGCACAGGCAGCUGGCAGAGAUGGCCAGGAUCACAGCAGUCCGUAUCAAUGAUAGCCUUACACUGCUGUGGUACCACACCUGCAGCUUCUCUUGGUAUAAUCUCUCACUUGCCGUUGGAGGGGUAGGUUGGGUUGCAAUUUUGGUGUAUGUUUUUUUUUCUCAGACCAAGAACUGAAAUAGGCAGUUUUGUUCUCAGAAAUAUUUCAUAGAAUCAUAGAAUAGUUUGGGUUGGAAGGGACCUUAAAGAUCAUCCAGUUCCAACCCCUUUGCCAUGGGCAGGGACACCUCCCACUAGAUCAAGUUGCUCAAAGCCUUGUCCAGUCUGGCCUUGAACACUUCCAGGGGUGGGGCAUCGACAGCUUCCCUGGGCAAGCUGUGCCAAUGCCUUAUCACUGUCAUAGUGAAGAAAUUCCUCCUUAUGUCUAGCCUAAAUCUGCCUCUCUCCAAUUUAUAGCUAUUGCCCCUAGUCCUAUCACUACAUGCCUUUGUAAAAAGUCCCUCCCCAUCUCUCUUGUAGGCACCCUUCAGGUACUGGUACUUUGUGUACUUAAAAAGUAGUAAAAAUAAUGAAAACAAUAUUUGAGGAAAAGUUCUCCUCUCUCUUCCUUUUGCACAGAUCAGUGUGUUUUGGGACAUCAAAAGCAAUGGAGGAGAAGCUUCCCUCUAAAGUGACUGUUGGGCAGAGGGCUGUGUACUUUGUUUUGUUUUUAACCUUCCACUCUGUUUUUCCUGGAAACUUUCUGUGAAUGCGCUGACCUUGCUUGUCUCUCCAAGGCAAGGCAGCUGGUCUGCUCCAGUAUCACAGCCAACAUCUCUGCUCUGUUCAUUAGCCAGUCAGCAUUCUGCAAAGGUCAGGGGUGCAUCUUAGCUAUAAGUUUACUCAAUACAGAAGCAUCUAAGGAAUCGUGUUCUUUAAAAAAAUCCUAUGUGUGGGGGCAUGCACUUCAUUUUUCAGCACUGACCCCUUCUAGGCAUAUCUUUGAGCAUUUCUGUGGUUUUAACAUUCCUUACUGACACCACCCCUGCUAUAAGCAUGUGUUGCCCUUCAUUUUAUAGAAGAGGAAAUAAAUUUGUGCCUGCAGGGUUCCAAGCUUUUGCCUGACCACUAGAUGUGGUUCUUCUAUCAGUCUUUACCAAAAAUGCAGGAUACAGGUGGAUGGAGGGAACAGGGCAGAGAGCCGUAAUCUGCUUUUUCUAUUGCACGUAAGCAGACAAAACAGAUGAAGGAAGAAACUUGCACAAAAUCUCCUGGGGUGUCUGUAAGAGCUGGGAACUAAAUUCACAUUUCAAGAGAAACACUGUUGUUCUGUCUACAUUUUUUCCACAAAACGCAUAAUGUGUUACUUGAGUGAGGGGAAGAAAAACCUGAUGUCUGCUGACAUUUACCCCACUCAUCAGUGCUCAGUAGGUGUUUAAGUGAAGCUCCUGCCUUAAAGUCCUUCUGGCAUAAGGCUUUUGCAGUAAGGACGGGGCCAAUUCCUCCUCUGUUUGGUGUUGCUAGAAAUGUGAACUGGAGUACAACAGUGCUCUGUGCAGUCUUUACUCUUUCUGGAAAGUCUCAACUGCCUCACAAGGAGUUGUUCAUGGUGGCCUGAAGCUAGUGACUGAGGUAUCAGGUAGAAACUGAGGUUGUUAGGGGCUCUUCUGCAGCUUUCCUUGCAGAUGUCUUUCCUUGAGAGCCUUUCUUAUUGACUCAUGCUUUGGCCCAAGGAUUCCUAAUUGCUCUCCGUUUGUCAUUUUCUGAGCUCCUGCCCCACCAAGUUCUUUCAUUUCAUACCUCUCUUGCCCCAGCCACUUGUGUGGCUGUUCAUGGAGCUGCUGCAACAUUUUAGUUUCAUCGUGUCCAAGAGAGCUAGCUGUCCACUGUGGCCCCUGAUGUGGAGCUGAGGGGCACCAGCCCUGUCCUGCUCUCCACCCAGCUGUGUGUUCCUGCACUCACUGGUGGACUGGUUGAGGGAGCUCAAGGGAAAGCUAUUAGGAUGUGGGGAUGCUUCAACCACAGCUUUCCAAAGUGCUGUGCGCAGGGCAUACAACAUAGCUGCUCUAGAAUCUCCACGCCAAGAAAUGCUUGCCAUCCCUGUGCAGUUGAGACUACCAAAUUUUAAGAUGUUCUUCCCUUCUGCUAGUGAGCACGAUGAAUUUCAUGAACACAACCAGGGAGGAUGGGUUUAACUUUGUCAUAUCUAGAAACAUCAGUAGUAAGGGGAAGGGACCCUGAAGAACAUAAUUCUUUUUAAAUUGCACGCAUAAUAUACCUUAAAAUGAACAUAAUGCGUAGUUUUCUAAUGUUCGGGUCUGAAUCUCUACUUCUGGGAAGCCUCUAGGUAAGCCAGAUUUGUUGUUAUCCUACUUAGGGCUUAGAGCUGUUGUCUAUAGGUUUUGCUGUUGUUCUUUCUUUACACCUUUUAUUUUGCUCUUAUUUUCUUAAAUGAAGUAACAAUAUGCUCAAGCAACUUCUCUCAGCUCAUAAAACAGUGAAAAAAUGCCAGAUUGUUUGUGUUGAGCUCCACUUGGAUUUUGGUGCUCUAAAAACCCAGCUCAGUCGUAUUUGUGUCUCUGCAGUGGGACCAUGGAAGGAAAGAGACAUCACCAAGUCGUCAUUCAGAGGAAAGCAGCAUAUUGGACCUACCCUCUGUUUGUGACCUAGCAGAGUGCUUUCUGCCUCCUCACAGCUCUGAAAACAGCGAGGAGCUUUUUCGUUCUGUGGAUAUUUUUCCCUCUACACCCACAGGCUUCUUUGCAGGGUCUGAAGGACGGGUGUGCUGCAGAAAGACAGACUUCCCUUCUCUGCUGUCUUGUUUCCCAAAUUUGAGAAUCUCUCUUAAGAGACCCAUAGGAGAACUUCAUGAAGUGACCCUCUUUACAACACAAAAGCUUUGACAGGAUUUUCCUAUGAUCUGAUGUACAGAGGCUGGUGACACCUGAGAGGGAGUCUUGGAGAGAAACGCACCCUUCCAAAUCUACUCUGUGUUGGAUGGGGAGCUGUCCCCUCCCCACAGAAGACUGAAUGCAUAGUUCGCUUCAUUUCUUCUCAUGUGAAAUCCAGCAAGGGCUCCAUCCUUCUCGCAGUGCUGUGUUCCUAUAGAAGUUGGUUUGUUUUUUUCCUGCUAUGUCUAAAGAAGGCUAAUAUGAACUAGAUUUUAAUGCAUGUCUGAGCAGUGGAGUGCUCUGUUUGAAACAUUAAGAGGCAAAGAAAGAAAUUCACUUCCUCUACUAUGUGGAGAUAAAGGUUUGGUUUGCUUUGUUAAAAUAAAACAAAACAAAACAAAUCCUCUAGAAUGUAUUUCUAGCUUGAAAAUCAUGAAAGAAAUUUCCAUUAAAAGGUUCACAGGCAUGAGAGUUAUACAAGGAGCAAAAACCACCAAGGAAAAUGGGAACGCAAAGGGGGUAGGCUUUUUCCAUUUUUAGUCCUACUUUCCAGGAAGAGAAGCAUGUUUUGUAGGAAACAAUUUCAAUGAAACUCACGUUUUCCUUAACAGCUGAGAGGAGAAGCU